GGCGCCGCGCGGCACGCCGGGAGCGGCGCGGCGGUGGGAGGGGCGCCGCGCGGGGCACGCCGGGAAGGUGGCGGCUCGCGCGCCGUGAGGCGGCCCCGGGCCAGCGUGUUGAGUGUUAUCCCAAAGCCACAUCAGCAAAUCUGCACGGAAUAUGCAAAUAAUAUAAACUGAGAUCGAUCAUGAAGAUCUUUUGUGGAAGAGCGAAUCCAACCACGGGCGCAAUGGAGUGGUUAGAGGAGGACGAGGACUAUGACUACCAUCAGGAAAUUGCAAGGUCACGCUAUGCAGAUAUGCUUCAUGAUAAAGACCGAAAUGUGAAAUAUUACCAAGGUAUCCGUGCUGCAGUGAGCAGAGUAAAAGAAAGAGGUGAGAAAGCAAUUGUUUUAGACAUAGGAACUGGCACAGGACUCUUGUCUAUGAUGGCAGCUUCAGCAGGUGCAGAUUUCUGUUACGCUAUUGAGGUUUUCAAGCCCAUGGCUAAUGCUGCUGUGAAGAUAGUGGAGAAAAAUGGUUUUAGUGACAAGAUCAAGGUAAUCAACAAGCACUCCACUGAAGUUACAGUUGGGCCAGAUGGAGACAUGCAAUGUCGUGCAAAUAUCCUGGUAACAGAAUUAUUUGAUACAGAGCUGAUAGGAGAAGGAGCUUUACCAACCUAUGAGCACGCACACAAGCAUCUUGUACAGGAAGGAUGUGAGGCAGUGCCUCAUAGGGCAACAGUGUAUGUCCAGUUAGUGGAAUCCAGAAGGAUGUGGUCCUGGAACAAGCUGUUUCCUGUUCAUGUCAAAGCAGAGGAUGGUGAAAAAAUUAUUGUCUCCCCGUCAGAAAUGGAGAACUGUCCAGGUGUUCCUUCUGUUUGUGAUAUCCAACUGAAUCAGAUGCCUUCAAGUGACUUCACUAUCCUUAGUGACGUUGUGACAAUGUUCAGCGUGGAUUUCAGUAAGCCAGUAAGGAGUGCUUCUACCUACUACAGAGUGCAGCUGAAGCCUGUAAAAUCUGGCAAGGCACAAAUUGUACUUUCCUGGUGGGAUAUUGACAUGGACCCCUCUGGGAAGAUAAAUUGUACGAUGGCUCCAUACUGGGUAAAACCCGCUUCUGCUCUCCAGUGGAGAGAUCACUGGAUGCAGUGUGUAUAUUUUCUUCCAAAUGAGGAGCCAGUUUUCCAGGGUGAGAAUGUGUACCUGACUGCCUAUCGUGAUGAGUAUUCUGUGUGGUAUAAGCUCCAGAAAGCCAGAGGAGAAGAGAACAAAGCAGAUGUUCAUGCUGAGAGUCCCGUUUGUAGAUGUCAGGCUCAUCUUCUUUGGAAUAGACCACGCUUUGGAGAAUUAAAUGAUCAGAACCGAACAUGCCAGUACAUCAAGUCUUUGACAAAAAUUCUGAAAACAGAUAGCGUUUGUCUCUGCAUCAGUGAUGGCAGUCUGCUGCCUGUGCUGGCUCACUAUCUUGGGGCAAAGCAGGUGUUUACAUUAGAAAACUCUGCUGUGUCCUGUUCUGUCAUGGGAAAAUUCUUAAAAGCAAAUCAUCUUGAAGAUAAAAUUAAAAUAGUAGAAGCACGUCCUGAAUCGCUGACAUCUUCUCAUUUGGAAGAUAAAAAAAUUUCAGUUCUUCUGGGAGAGCCAUUUUUUACUACAAGUCUGUUGCCAUGGCAUAACCUGUAUUUCUGGUAUGCUAGGACAGCUGUGACCAUGCAUCUUGCCAGCAAUGUCACUGUCCUACCUCAGUCUGCUUCUUUGCACAUGAUGAUUGUGGAGUUUCAGGACUUAUGGAGAAUCCGGAGUCCGUGUGGCACCUGUGAAGGUUUUGAUGUCCGGACUAUGGAUGAUAUGAUUAAAAAUUCUCUGAAUUUUAGGGAAUCCAAGGAAGCAGAACCUCACCCUCUGUGGGAAUAUCCUUGCAAGUCACUCUCAGACCCCCAAGAAGUUUUGAUAUUUGACUUCAGAAGGACAGUACCACAGCACUGUCUCAGUGCAGAGGGUUCUUUAAAUCUUUUACGGAAGGGAAAGAGCCAUGGAGCAGUUCUGUGGAUGGAAUAUCAUCUUACUGCUGAUAUCUCUGUUAGCACAGGGCUGGUGCAGAUUUCAAAUGACAAGGCUCUGGACUUGCCACUGACAAAUUGAAAAUAUUCUUCAGCAUGCACAAAAAGAAAUCCCAUGUCAAGCUACAUAUGUAUUUUAGUACAUUUAAUAUGGAGAAGGAAACAGGAGCAAAAAGAAUGGCAUGAAGCAGCAGAAGCUCACUCUACCUUACCUCCUGGUCACUGCAGUAUAUAACUCUGUUACAGCUGGUUGCUAUGAGGAGAACAGACUUUUACAGCUUUGCUUCUUACUGUUAGGUAUUUCUAGGGAAGAUUGUGAGCUGAAUACAGCGGAUGCUUGAAUCAUCAUCCUACCUAAUUGACUUUGGUGGCAUUACAGACUGUUAAUUUGAUUUCGUGCUUAAUCAGUCAUUUUCAGACUUCACAUUUUCAAGCAUUUAACAGGGAUUAAUGAUUAAGAUGGUCUCACAGAGGCCAUCUUAAUAAUACAUACCUCAGAGAGGUAUGUGUUAUUAUCCCAAUUUUUCACAUGAGCAAAAACUGGGAGUGUUCUGUGUGGGUGUUCAAGUGUUUCAUCUGCUCUGAGCUCUCACUGUAAGAUUAGGGCCUCAGAGCUAAAAAUGACUUGCUCAAGGCCAUGCGGAAUAAACUAAUCCCCUGACUCUCCCUUGCUCUGCUUUAAUCAUUUGUUUUCUUAGUGCAGUGUGAUCUCAAAUGCAGCCUUAUGAGGUUUAACCGAGAUACAGCAGAUAAAGGCUCAGAGGCAGCAAAUCCUUGGAUCCUUCAGUAAUUAAAACCAGGAUAAAUAUAUAUAUACAUAUAUACGUGUGUGUGUUUGCAUAUAUAUAUAUCAGGCCAUAGAGUGUUGCUUUUGUUUUUAAAGGCUUUCAUGAAGAUGACCCACUUUUUCUUCAGCAGGAUCCUUUCUAGGGUGUGAGAGCCCUAGAAACGCUUCCUUUGUGGGCGCUAAUGAAAGACUGAGAGCUGCUCCUCUCCCUGUCCGCAGAGGGUAGGCCCCACAAGUGCCGCUGCGAUGGCGCUGCGCUCCUCGCAGCCGCGCGGGCACAGUCCCAGGGCGCCUUAGCUCUUGCGUUACCCGGCUGCGACUGGCCGAGCAGCUGGCCGUGCUUCGCCAGGGCUUUGCAGAAGCGCAGCUGUGUGCUGUACUGCGGCAGCAGCCAGCGGGUUGUGGACGUUGUCUCUUGCUCCUGUUGUUUUCCGCAGCCUCGGGUCCUCGGGGCGACCCUGCUUGCUCCUGCCUCACGCACCCCUCUCAGGUGAUGAGUUGCAGCUUGUGCACUGGGAAAAAAAAUGAUGGGCACUGCAGUUUACUGGGUCCUGCUUCUCAAGGCUGAUGGAUCCUGCUCUGUCUGUUCUCCAGUAAAGGUGACUGCUUGCUUCAUGUUAAAGAGUAUCUAAGAAACCAAUUAUUCACAACCCUGAGACUCGGCACAUAAAUCAAGCUGCUGGGAUGAACGGAGUGGGAGGGAGGGAGACAAACAGCCUUCAUUACUGCACUUGGAAAUGUUGUAUUUCUUCUCAACACCAUAUUUCUAGGAACUGUUGAAGGGAGCGUGCUGCAGGUGCUACAGCCCUAAUCUCGCACCGGCGCAGCAUGAAGGAUAGGACUGACUCGCCCUCCUUAGGGGCAGAGCGAUUAAUCGGCAGUGCUGUGACUCGCGGGGAGGAGGCCGGGUGGCCGAGGAUCCCAACGAGGCAGCGCAGCGCAGCGCAGCGCAGCUCGCCCCCCUGGGUAGAGGGACGCCCCGGGCCGCCGCUGCCGCCGCCGCGCGGGACGGGCCCCGACGCCGCUUUUCCUCUCAGGCCCCGGCGGCGGCGGCGGCCCGCGCGCCGCGGCCCCGCUGCUGAUUGGCCGAGCCCCCUCCCCAGCGGCGCCUGGCCGCCAUUUUGGCCGCCUGCCGCCGCGGGGGGAGGAGAGAGACGGGUCCCCCCCGUCCCCGCCCUCCGCCGCGGGCAGGCCCGGGGGAAGCGGCGCGGCGGCUGGCCUGGCCUCUGCGCCGCGGGAAGGCAGCAGACAAGACUAGCACACAGAUGCACCGUAGACAUCUGCACAUCCGAAACCAGAAGCCUUAGAAGAAUUUAGCUGCUAAGCUGGCAUGUCUGCUGAGCACCUGCAAACGGAGAGCACAGGCAGAUCAAGUGCCAGGACCAGAGGGCUGGCUCCUUGCAGAGAGAUCUUCAAACAAGCUGUUGGCGUACCCUUUCUGGUAGCGCUUGGAGUUGCUUGUCCUAUUCCUAUGGGCCUGUCCAGAAAGAAGGCAUGAGGAAGAAGAGAAUGCACAUAAUUUCCUAAUCCUCACCAGCCUGGCAGGCAGACUGAUUUGAACUAGUUUGCCCUUUACACUGCCAACAUUUCUUAGCAGCAGUUCAAGUUUUCUCUUGGGAUCACUGGAAUAUUCACCUGUGCUUGGAGCUGCUGCUGCUAUUUGUCUCUGUCUAUUGUCAAGGCAACAGAAUCUUGAGUGAUACAACAGUGGAGCAAUUACUUAUGAGGACAGGAAACUCGGGCAGCAACCUGAAGCAGAUCAGUGUGAAGAAUGCAGCAAACCCACUUAACUGAAAUACACAAAGUCUGCAGCGUCCAUACUGUCUUCAAGCAGUCUAGAAGGGCUACAUUCUGCGCUCCAGCUAUCGUGAACACAAGAAUCGUAGCCACAACAAGUAAUACUAAAGAUAUACAGACCUCUGUCUAAAUUAAUUUCUGAUCUUAUACAGAAGUAAAGUGCACCCUGCACUUUGUCAGAAAUACUGGAGGAGCAAUGCUUGCUACUUGUGCACAGGAACCUCAGCAGAGACCUAGAGAAAGUGAAAAACUAAGAGAAGCAAAUCAGGACAAUACCUGCAAGAGCUUGCAAUUAAUCUCCUCCAGGGAGGCUGAAGGGAGAAGACGACAGGGAAAAAUACGCACGUCACUUGCAGACCUACCCCUGAGCCAGAGGAUUCUCCUGAGCUCACAAGAUGGCUAGCAAAGUCUCAAAGGGUGUGACAGUCUGCUGGAUGCUGUUACUGACUCCUGCAGGAGCUUGGCUACGAGGGCCUCUUGCUUCCACCCUCAGGCUGCCUUAGUCUGAAUACGUUACAGUGUCGUAAGUGAAUUUACAGAGUGUCCUCUCUACUUUCUUAUCCAGCAUAUGCAGUUCCAAUAGAAAAGUGAGACACCAUUAAUUUAAAUCCUCUACUCUCUAAGGCAAGCAGGUGAAUAUAUGAAUUAUAUUUUCCAAGCUUACAUAACUUAAAAUGAGAUUUUCACUUCAACACCAAAAAUUGUAUAUUGUAAGUGUCCACCAAUUUACAAAUUUGCAAUGCCUCCUGCUGAGGAGAGAAAACAUGCAUGCUGUACAUCUUGCAAUGCCAUCUACCAUAACCACACUGAAAAGACAACACUGCACAUAAAGUUUUCUGUCUUACAGCAAGAACGUGCUUCUUACAGUCCUCGUAUUGCCUAAAGCAGAUGAAAUCAUUUUCACUGUCCAAAACACAUAAAAGAUUUAAGUCUAAAGGCUGAACAUCAGACUAUAAUUUAUAGUCAGUUGAGAAAGAGAAGUCAACACAGACUGGCUUUAGACUUUCCUAUGCAGCCUUAAUGGAGUGCCUGACAAGGCCUCAUAUUCAUAGACCAAUUUAAACACAGGAUCACACUCACACCCGUUAAUCAUGAAUAAAUACAAAUCAUACAGUGUGCGUGUGUGUGUACAUAUUUAUACUGAAAGCGACUUGGGAUCUAGAGCUCUCAGAGAAUUGCAAGAAACGGCCUAGAAGACAGAGCGACUGCCACUGCCUGUGGCUGUGGGAGGCACAGCCAGCACCCCUGGGACCGCCACCACAGGGAGACAGAGCCCCACAUUCGCUGGGAACAGCGGCUGCUUUACACACCGCUGAGGGGAGAAGGGAAAGGUGCUUUUAUACUCUUAAAAAAGAAAAAAAGUGCCAAAGUGAGAGCCCAAGACAUUAACAUAAUUAGAAUUCCUGUGGCAAGUGCCAGCAUGGAAGUACAUCCAAAGCAGCUCUUCUCCCAGAUUCCAUAUUUCCUCCAACUUUCGAUAUUUUCAUUUUUUUAAGUGGCUGUAAUAACGUAAACCACCUAGCAGAGGCCUUUUGAGCCUCUUAAUGGUUAUGAUGGAGGAAAUACUGUGACAAGUACCAAGAGAAAAAAUAAAUAUCCUUGAUGCUGUCAAGUCAAUUCCAGGCUACAAGAGAAGUAGUAGUAUAUUAAAUAUGGUCUGAAAUAAAAUAGUAAGCAAAAUCUGA